AACGAACGCUGGCGGCAUGCCUAACACAUGCAAGUCGAACGCCCCGGUUCGCCGGGGAGUGGCGCACGGGUGAGUAACGCGUGGGAACCUGCCCGGCAGUACGGGACAACCGCGGGAAACUGCGGCUGAUACCGUAUACGGCCUGAGGGCGAAAGAAUUUCGCUGUCGGAGGGGCCCGCGUCGGAUUAGGUAGUUGGUGGGGUAACGGCCUACCAAGCCUGCGAUCCGUAGCUGGUCUGAGAGGAUGAUCAGCCACACUGGGACUGAGACACGGCCCAGACUCCUACGGGAGGCAGCAGUGGGGAAUAUUGGACAAUGGGCGCAAGCCUGAUCCAGCAAUGCCGCGUGAGUGAUGAAGGCCUUAGGGUUGUAAAGCUCUUUCGCCCGCGACGAUGAUGACGGUAGCGGGAGAAGAAGCCCCGGCUAACUCCGUGCCAGCCGCCGCAGUAAGAC
rnacentral:rRNA from 1 species